AGUUUGAUCCUGGCUCAGAUUGAACGCUGGCGGCAUGCUUUACACAUGCAAGUCGAACGGUAACAGGUCUUUCGGGAUGCUGACGAGUGGCGAACGGGUGAGUAAUGUAUCGGAACGUGCCCAGUAGUGGGGGAUAACUACUCGAAAGAGUGGCUAAUACCGCAUGAGAUCUCUGGAUGAAAGCGGGGGACCGUAAGGCCUCGCGCUACUGGAGCGGCCGAUAUCAGAUUAGCUAGUUGGUGGGGUAAAGGCCUACCAAGGCGACGAUCCUUAGCUGGUCUGAGAGGAUGAUCAGCCACACUGGGACUGAGACACGGCCCAGACUCCUACGGGAGGCAGCAGUGGGGAAUAUUGGACAAUGGGCGAAAGCCUGAUCCAGCAAUGCCGCGUGAGUGAUGAAGGCCUUAGGGUUGUAAAGCUCUUUACCAGGGAUGAUAAUGACAGUACCUGGAGAAUAAGCUCCGGCUAACUCCGUG
rnacentral:rRNA from 1 species